ACUGAGCAGAUUGGGUGGUUGAGUAUCUCGCCUUCCAAUUCUGCCUGUAUUCCACCCUUGUUUGUCAUACUAUUAUUUCCUCGGCAGGCUUGCCUGCCGAGUGAAACCAAUUAUAACCUAUUUAAUUUUCAAUCAGCGUCUGAAAAAAAUUAAUAAUUACAACUUUCAACAACGGAUCUCUUGGUUCUGGCAUCGAUGAAGAACGCAGCGAAAUGCGAUAAGUAGUGUGAAUUGCAGAAUUCAGUGAAUCAUCGAAUCUUUGAACGCACAUUGCGCCCCUUGGUAUUCCAUGGGGCAUGCCUGUUCGAGCGUCAUUUGUACCUUCAAGCUUUGCUUGGUGUUGGGUGUUUGUCCUGAGGGACUCGCCUUAAAGUAAUUGGCAGCCAGUGUUUGGUUUUGAAGCGCAGCACAAGUCGCGAUUCAAGGCUAUACACCAGCUUCCACAAGCCUUUUUCACUUUUGACCUCGGAUCAGGUAGGGAUACCCGCUGAACUUAAGCAUAUCAAAAGGCCGGAGGAAAAGGUCAUUACCUUU
rnacentral:rRNA from 1 species